rnacentral:rRNA from 1 species
UACGGAGGGGGCUAGCGUUGUUCGGAAUUACUGGGCGUAAAGCGCACGUAGGCGGCUUUGUAAGUUAGAGGUGAAAGCCCGGGGCUCAACUCCGGAAUUGCCUUUAAGACUGCAUCGCUAGAAUUGUGGAGAGGUAAGUGGAAUUCCGAGUGUAGAGGUGAAAUUCGUAGAUAUUCGGAAGAACACCAGUGGCGAAGGCGGCUCACUGGACCGGUAUUGACGCUGAGGUGCGAAAGCGUGGGGGAGCAAACAGGAUUAGAAA